GCUUUAAUUGAACCAAUCACAUUCAUUAUGUCCUAGAGACAGAGCUGCCCUCGGGGUAAGAUUGAAUACGGAAAACUAUCCUUAACCAAUCUGGAUUCUUGUAUGAGGUUUAUGCUAAAUCUUUAUCACCUGUUCACAUUCUUUUAACCAACCCUUUGUCCAUCUGCUGGUGAAUAAGAGAAAAAGCAUUUAGCAUUUAAAUAAACCGAUAACCAAACCAAAAAUAACAUGGAAGCUAUCAAAAAACUAUGAAGAUGAAGAUGAAGGCACUUAAAAUGCCUUUAUUGUGGUCGUACGUUUAAUGAAACAACAUACAAAAAAUGGAUGUAAAAAGAAACAAGAAUACAAUGGAGCAUAUUAUCUACAAUAUUGUAUGUAAACUGCAUUACUUUGCUCUUCAAUAAAACAUAUUUGUUCAUUGAACAAUAUAUUUUAAAAUGAUAUAGAUUGGGUUGCCAGGUGGUGGUGUCAUACAUGACCGAUGACAUCACAAUGGUCUUAAAGCCAAUUUGAACAAUGGGUUAAUGAGGAAAUGUAUCAGUCUUCAUUGGUUAUCGACAUGGCUUGUUUCUGCUGGUGCAAAAAGAAAAAACGUCAGAAAGCAAAUUCAGUUGAUGUGGAGCAGAAGACAAGAAAGAAGAAGGAGAGGGGCACUUCAUCCCCCUCUCCAAUUCCAUCUGACCGUUCUGAACGGAAUGGCUCCGCUACCUCUGACCCCUCACCCUCUGACCAACUCUCCUCCCUCCAUCCACCUCCCUCUCCUGUUAAAUGUUCCUCUCAGCCUUGCUCUCCUGCUAAACAACCCUCUGUACCCCGGUCACCUGCCAAAAACCCUUCCCCAGUGAAAUCCUCUCCAGUGGUGUCCCACCCUAGUUCUCCCUCUCCUACCAACCCUCUGGAUCGUCAUGGAGACACCAGUCAGGAGGGCACAACAGUCAGACCUCUGUCUCUUCAGGACCACUCCAGUCCAAUGCCCCAGAGACCAGUCUCAGCCACCAGAAGCAUGACUCUUCCCAGGACCAGCUCAGCCACCAGAGGCAUGACUCUUCCCAGGGCCAGCUCAGCCACCAGAAGCAUGACUCUUCCCAGGACCAGCUCAGCCACCAGAGGGUCAGAAGAGACCCAGGGGGCCAGAGGAGAACAGGUGGCACUGGUCAACAUGGAACUUCUUGGGUUGCCUAACAUUGGCAACACUUGCUUCCUUAACGCCACCCUGCAGUGCCUCCUGGUCCUGCCUUCCUUCUCAAAGGAAAUCCUGCACCAGGAACAACUCUGGAGCUCCUCCCCCUUCUCCAACCUGCUCAGGAGUCUGUCUGAUGUGCACCGUUCGGGUUUACCUGACAGUGUGGCAAACCAGGCCUCAAAAGCAGACCUCAUGUGGAAGGUCAAGUACUCCUUGUCGGGAUACGAUUUGAAGUAUCUGGGGGACACGCAACAGGACGCACACGAGUUACUCAUCAAUAUGCUGUGCCAGCUGAAGGAGGAGGGCAUGAUUCUGAAGACACUCGGGAUAAACUAUACCUGCCCUGUUUCCCAGCUGGAGUUCCAGCUUGUGUCGGUGCGCACAUGUACCAGCUGUGGGCGCGAGUCGUCUACCAGAGAGGACUACAACCACCUCUCAUUGGACUUCAGCCCUGAGCGCACCUUGCUGAACAGCCUAGCACUCACUUUCAAAAGUGAACAGGUUGAAUUCACAUGUGAGGGCUGUAAAGGCCUCCACGCCUCAAAGGUGGAGCAGUUCCACACACUGCCUCUUGUGCUGGUUCUGCAUCUGAAGAGGUUUGGAGGACCUGGGGGGUUGGAGAAGCUGGAGGCUCCUCUUUUGUUUCCUUCGGAGCUGAGGCUCUCCACCCUCUGUGGGGACAUGGUGCCACACCUGCACAGUGCCAGCCCACAGGCCCUCACCAACCAGGCCCCCAGCAUCCAGGGGUCCAUCCCCCAGACCCUCACCAGCCAAGUCUCCAGCCCACCUGGAGUGGCCAAAGACAGCGCCCUCUGCUGUUCAGAAGCAGAAGCCAGUACAGUCAGUGAAUGGUUACUACCAGCUGACUGGCGUAGUCUCUCAUUUGGGAGGCUCCGCAAACUCCGGGCACUACAUUAGUGACAUAUUGCAUGCCAGUGGAAACUGGUUCUGCUGUAACGACAUCCAGGUGUCAAUGUCCAAUGAAGCCACUGUGCUGAGGACCAGAGCCCGGAGUGCCUACAUGCUCUUCUAUAUGUUCAGGGCAAUAGAGCGGGAGGCCCCAGCACACAGGGCCUAACAGGGCCACCAGCAUCAGCCCCAGCCUAAACAGGGGCAGCACCUGGACCAGCCCCAACACCCUCAGACCUGUCUCAACAGGGGUAGUACAAGGCCCAGUCUCAAAACCCCCUGCCCAGCCUCAACACUCACACACCUGCCUCGAAAGGGGUAGCACUUGGCCCAACAUCAACAACCCCGAGCCCAGCCACAACAGGGGCAGCACUGGGCUCAACAUCAACACACCCAGCCCAGCCUCAACAUAAGAAGAACCAGGCCCAGUCUCAACAUGGGCAGAACAAGACCCAGCCCCAACACCCUCAGACCUGCCUCAACAGGUGCAGCAUUCAGCCCAACUUCAAUCAUGCUGCUCUUCAACACGAGCAUGAACAUUCUUUCAGUAGCUUAUGUCAUAAAUAUCUGCCCUUGUUUUGACUACUUCACCUAAUGUAUAAAGCUCAUGUAAAAAAACACAAAGUAUACACACUAAAUGUAGUACACAUGUAGAUGUGGUGGAUAGGAAACUAUGCAGUUUUUUGUUUUUUUACGUGUUAUUUCUUACAUUAGUACCCCAGGUCAUCUUAGGUUUCAUUACAUACAGUCGAGAAGAACUACUGAAUAUAAGAUCAGCGUCAACUCACCAUCAGUACGACCAAGAAUAUGUUUUCCGCGACGCGGAUCCUGUGUUCUGCCUUACAAACAGGACAACGGAAUGGAUCGCAUGCAGCGACCCAAGGAAACGACUCCGAAAAAGAGGGAAACGAGGCGGUGUUCUGGUCAGACUCCGAAAAAGGGCACAUCGCGCACCACUCCCCAGCAUUCUUCUUGCCAAUGUCCAGUCUCUUGACAACAAGGUUGACGAAAUCCGAGCAAGGGUGGCAUUCCAGAGGGACAUCAGAGACUGCAACGUUCUCUGCUUCACGGAAACAUGGCUUACUGGGAAGACGCUAUCCGAUGCGGUGCAGCCAACGGGUUUCUCCACGCAUCACGCCGACAGAAAUAGACAUCUUUCUGGUAAGAAGAGGGGCGGGGGCGUAUGCCUCAUGACUAACGAGACAUGGUGUGAUGAAGGAAACAUACAGGAACUCAAAUCCUUCUGUUCACCUGAUUUAGAAUUCCUCACAAUCAAAUGUAGACCGCAUUAUCUUCCAAGAGAAUUCUCUUCGAUUAUAAU